ACACAGUGAGGAUUGACAGACAGUUGGCAGGAGUGGUUCUUGGUAAAAACAAAUGAGAGAGUUGAAGUUCUUUCAUGAUCUUGUGAGAGGUGGUGCAUGGCCGUUCUUAGUUCGUGUAGUGAUAUGUCUGCCUAAUCGCGUCACGAUAACCUAUUGGUCGACAACCCAAUUAUCACAACUGCAGCAUAACUCCCCUUGGGUGGGCGAGGCUCUGUGUAGGAUAGACCUCUGAACAGUACGCAACGAACGCGAUCGUAAUCCCUUGUUGAGUGGCCAUCCUGUAAGCUGCUGGAUUUGAAACCCAGUGGUAUUAUCUCAGCCACAGAUUUUCUGGUUGUAAUGGGCCAGUUUUGAAACUCGGGGAACAUCUGUGACUUUCUUUCUUAACGCAGAGGAAGGUUAUGGCAAUAACA
rnacentral:rRNA from 1 species